rnacentral:rRNA from 1 species
UACGUAGGGGGCAAGCGUUGUCCGGAUUUAUUGGGCGUAAAGAGCGUGUAGGCGGCCUGAAAGGUCAGCUGUGAAAACUCGAGGCUCAACCUCGAGACGUCGGUUGAAACCAUCUGGCUAGAGUCCGGAAGAGGAGAGUGGAAUUCCCGGUGUAGCGGUGAAAUGCGCAGAUAUCGGGAAGAACACCCGUGGCGAAAGCGGCUCUCUGGGACGGUACUGACGCUGAGACGCGAAAGCGUGGGGAGCGAACAGG